rnacentral:rRNA from 1 species
CAAAAACAUAGCUAGAUGUAAUUAUAUUUAGUGCUUCCUGCUCAAUGAUAUAUUUAAUAGCCGCAGUACCUUGACUGUGCAAAGGUAGCAUAAUCAAUUGGCUUAUAAUUGAAGUCUAGAAUGAAAGGAUAUACGGGUAGUUACUGUAUCUGAUAUUUAUUGCAAAAUUAGUUUUCAAGUGCAAAUACUUGUAAAUAACUGUUAGACGAGAAGACCCUAGAAAUUUGUAUUAAUGUUUCGUUGGGGCAACGUAGUAGGAAAACCUACAGUAAAAGACAAGAAAAAAUUUUGAGAGAAAAAAUUACUCUAGGGAUAACAGCAUAAUUUAUAAAAGUUUGUGACCUCGAUGUUGGAUUUGGGAAUUAUAGUUCARAAGACUUUUAAUACCGCUCUGUUCGAGCAUAAUAC